UACGUAGGGGUGCAAGCGUUAAUCGGAAUUACUGGGCGUAAAGCGUGCGCAGGCGGUGAUGUAAGACAGUUGUGAAAUCCCCGGGCUCAACCUGGGAACUGCAUCUGUGACUGCAUUGCUGGAGUGCGGCAGAGGGGGAUGGAAUUCCGCGUGUAGCAGUGAAAUGCGUAGAUAUGCGGAGGAACACCGAUGGCGAAGGCAAUCCCCGUGGGCCUGC
rnacentral:rRNA from 1 species